rnacentral:rRNA from 1 species
AUACGGAGGAUCCGAGCGUUAUCCGGAUUUAUUGGGUUUAAAGGGUGCGCAGGCGGCCAUUUAAGUCAGCGGUUAAAUCGUGGGGCUCAACCCCAUUCUGCCGUUGAUACUGGGUGGCUUGAUUUCGGUCGAGGUUGGCGGAAUUCGUUGUGUAGCGGUGAAAUGCAUAGAUAUGACGAAGAACACCGAUUGCGUAGGCAGCUGACCAGACCGCAAAUGACGCUCAUGCACGAAAGUGCGGGGAUCGAACAGGAUUAGAUACCCUGGUAGUCCGCACAGUAAACGAUGAAUACUUGUUUUCGGCGAUAUAAUGUCGGAGGCAAAGCGAAAGCGAUAAGUAUUCCACCUGGGGAGUACGCCGGCAACGGUGAAACUCAAAGGAAUUGACGGGG